rnacentral:rRNA from 1 species
UGCAAGUCGAACGCUGAUUACGUGGUAGCAAUAUUGCGUAGUCGGAGUGGCGUACGGGUGCGUAACACGUGGGCAAUCUGCCGUGAAGUUGGGGAUAACCACGAGAAAUCGUGGCUAAUACCGAAUGUGACAGAUUAAGGGCAUCCUUAAACCGUUGAAGCUGGGGACCGCAAGGCCUGGCGCUUCACGAUGAGCCCGCGGCCUAUCAGCUAGUUGGAGGGGUAACGGCCCACCAAGGCUAUGACGGGUAGCUGGUCUGAGAGGACGACCAGCCACACUGGAACUGAGACACGGUCCAGACACCUACGGGUGGCAGCAGUCGAGAAUUUUUCACAAUGGGCGAAAGCCUGAUGGAGCGACGCCGCGUGGGGGAUGAAUGGCUUCGGUCCGUAAACCCCUGUCAUUUGCGAGCAAUGCUUUGAGCCUAAUAUGUUCAAAGUUGAUAGUAGCGAAAGAGGAAGGGACGGCUAACUCCGUGCCAGCAGCCGCGGUAAUACAGAGGUCCCAAGCGUUGUUCGGAUUCACUGGGCGUAAAGGGUGCGUAGGUGGUGAGGUAAGUUUGGUGUGAAAUCCCCGGGCUCAACCCGGGAACUGCAUCGAAUACUAUCUCGCUCGAGGGUCGGAGGGGAGACUGGAAUUCUCGGUGUAGCAGUGAAAUGCGUAGAUAUCGAGAGGAACACCAGUGGCGAAGGCGAGUCUCUGGACGACACCUGACACUGAGGCACGAAAGCUAGGGGAGCAAACAGGAUUAGAUACCCUGGUAGUCCUAGCCGUAAACGGUGUGCACUUGCUGUGAGCGGAAUCGACCCCGUUCGUGGCGUAGCUAACGCGAUAAGUGCACCGCCUGGGGAGUACGGUCGCAAGAUUAAAACUCAAAGAAAUUGACGGGGGCCUGCACAAG